AAAACCACCACCGUUUUUUUUUUCUUUUUCCGGCGAGUAAGUAAAUCAGAUGGCAGACGAUGAAGGAAGUGGCGGUUAUAACAACACCACCACGGAACCAUUGCUCCCGUACAUGAUCAGCCCAAGAUCGAAAAAACCGCCUCGGAUCCUGUUUCCCUUACCGGAAGACAACGACAGAGUCGCUAUUCCGAUGCCGCCGCCGUUGACACCGUCUGAGUUCAAAGACCUUUUAAUCUUCGGACCCUUCUCACCCUCGCCGCGAGACUCCUCUCAGUACCUCGAUUCCCUCUCCCAGAGACACUCGCCGUCGUCGUCAUCCUCCUCCUCCGCCGUCGCCGGAGAUACGUUCUCCGGUUCCUCGAUGCUAGCACCUCUCCUCCCACAUCACCAACCGGACCCAUCGUUCCACGGCCACGCGCUCCACAGAUCCAAAACCGCGCCGGCGAUGUCCGUAAUCAACGAUCUCCAUCUCCCGACUCCUCACCGGAAAGAUCUCGCGUCGUCGUCGUCGUCGUCGUCACGCUCCGUCGUGAGACAAGCUUUCGCUCUCCUCGUCGUGUACCUCUCCUUAGGCGUGCUUAUCUACUGGCUGAACCGUGAUCACUACGUGGUGAAUCAAACCCAUCCCGUUGUCGACGGGCUAUACUUUUGCAUCGUCACGAUGUGCACCAUCGGUUACGGAGACAUCACACCCGACAGUGUCGUCACCAAGCUGUUCUCGAUCAUGUUCGUGCUAGUCGGGUUUGGUUUCAUCGAUAUUUUGCUUAGCGGGAUGGUCUCUUACGUUCUCGACCUUCAAGAGAGCUACAUGUUGGACUCUGCUAAGCGGAGAGACGAGCCGGAGAAGAAGAGGAAGUCGUCGUAUAUAAUCGAUGUUGAGAAGGGAAGGAUGAGGAUUAGGUUGAAAGUGGGUUUAGCGUUAGGUGUUGUGGUUUUGUGCAUUGCUCUCGGUGUGGGGAUAAUGCAUUUUAUUGAAGACAUCGGCUGGUUGGAUUCGUUUUAUCUCUCGGUUAUGUCGGUUACUACCGUUGGGUAUGGAGACAGGGCUUUUAAGACGUUGCCCGGUAGGCUUUUCGCUGCGGUGUGGCUGCUUGUGUCUACGCUGGCCGUGGCUAGAGCUUUUUUGUACUUGGCUGAGGCGAGAGUGGACAAGAGGAAUCGAGAACGGGCUAAGAGAGUGCUUCGUGAGGCAAUGUCUGUCUCUCAGUUCUUCGCUGCUGAUAUCGAUAACAAUGGCUGUGUGAGCAAAGCGGAGUAUGUGAUUUACAAACUGAAGGAGAUGGAGAAAAUAACAGAUAAGGACAUAACUCCGAUCACUAAACAGUUUGACAAACUCGACCGAUGCAGCAAUGGAAAGAUUACCCUUGGAGAUCUCUUGGAUAGUAGCAGUGGAGAUUGAGAUUCCUCUGCAACUUUUUUUUAGUUUUGUUUUAGCUUUAGUUUACUGUAGUGAUCAAUGCCUAACAUGUGGAGAUUGAUUACUCUGUAACUUUUUUUUUUGUUUUGUUUCAGCUUUAGUUUACAGUAGUGAUCAAUGCCUAAUAUGUAACGAUAAUUGAUGAGUUAUCCAGUCUCUCUGGUUUACUUAAACCAAGUUUGGACCGAUCUUAAUUUAUGGUGCCUUUCUUGGUUAAGCCAGAAUUCACUCAUUAAUGUAUAUAUAUUUGGGUGAUUAACGAAAAACCUUACGUAUGCUGGCAAUGGCAAGAACUCAAUAAAUACACCAUAAAUGUAACGUUUCCAGUUACUGUUUUUUUUUUUUGAGAA